AACCAACGCUGGCGGCGUGCCUAAUACAUGCAAGUCGAACGGGGAAAGCUUUCGGGUGAGUACUAGUGGCGCACGGGUGAGGAACGCGUGGAUAAUCUGCCUUAGAGUGGGGGAUAACUAGUCGAAAGAUUAGCUAAUACCGCAUAAGACCACGAGAGCUGCGGCUUUUGAGGUCAAAGGUUUUUCGCUCUAAGAUGAGUCCGCGUAAGAUUAGCUAGUUGGUGAGGUAACGGCUCACCAAGGCGACGAUCUUUAACUGGUCUGAGAGGAUGAUCAGUCACACUGGAACUGAGACACGGUACAGACGCCUACGGGAGGCAGCAGUAGGGAAUAUUGCACAAUGGAGGAAACUCUGAUGCAGCGACGCCGCGUGAGUGAUGAAGGCCUUCGGGUCGUAAAGCUCUGUCGCAGGGGAAUAACACAAUGAAGGUACCCUGUAAGAAAGGAUCGGCUAACUUCGUG
rnacentral:rRNA from 1 species